AUGAACGCUAGCUACAGGCUUAACACAUGCAAGUCGUGGGGCAGCAUGGGAGAUGCUUGCAUUUCCUGAUGGCGACCGGCGCACGGGUGAGUAACGCGUAUCCAACCUGCCCUUUACUCCGGCACAGCCCGUCGAAAGGCGGAUUAAUGCGGGAUGCAGUCAGAGAGAUGCAUAUAUGUCUGACGAAAGGAUUCGUCCGGUAAGGGAUGGGGAUGCGUCCGAUUAGCUUGACGGCGGGGUAACGGCCCACCGUGGCUACGAUCGGUAGGGGUUCUGAGAGGAAGGUCCCCCACAUUGGAACUGAGACACGGUCCAAACUCCUACGGGAGGCAGCAGUGAGGAAUAUUGGUCAAUGGGCGAGAGCCUGAACCAGCCAAGUAGCGUGCAGGAAGACGGCCCUAUGGGUUGUAAACUGCUUUUGUACGGGAAUAAAGUUGGUCACGUGUGACCAUUUGCAUGUACCGUACGAAUAAGGACCGGCUAAUUCCGUGCCAGCAGCCGCGGUAAUACGGAAGGUCCGGGCGUUAUCCGGAUUUAUUGGGUUUAAAGGGAGCGUAGGCCGUCUCAAAAGCGUGUUGUGAAAUGUCCCGGCUCAACCGGGGAUGUGCAGCGCGAACUGUGAGACUUGAGUGUGCGGAAGGUAUGCGGAAUUCGUGGUGUAGCGGUGAAAUGCAUAGAUAUCACGAAGAACUCCGAUUGCGAAGGCAGCAUGCCGCAGCACCACUGACGCUGAUGCUCGAAGGUGCGGGUAUCGAACAGGAUUAGAUACCCUGGUAGUCCGCACAGUAAACGAUGGAUGCUCGCUGUGAGUCAGUUGUGAUUUGCGGCCAAGCGAAAGCGUUAAGCAUCCCACCUGGGGAGUACGCCGGCAACGGUGAAACUCAAAGGAAUUGACGGGGGCCCGCACAAGCGGAGGAACAUGUGGUUUAAUUCGAUGAUACGCGAGGAACCUUACCCGGGCUUAAAUUGCAAAUGAAUUAUGGGGAAACCCAUACGCCGCAAGGCAUUUGUGAAGGUGCUGCAUGGUUGUCGUCAGCUCGUGCCGUGAGGUGUCGGCUUAAGUGCCAUAACGAGCGCAACCCCUCUCCGUAGUUGCCAUCGGUUCGGCCGGGCACUCUGCGGACACUGCCUCCGCAAGGAGUGAGGAAGGUGGGGAUGACGUCAAAUCAGCACGGCCCUUACGUCCGGGGCUACACACGUGUUACAAUGGGACAUACAGAGAGCAGGGUGUACGCAAGUGCAUUCAAAUCAAGAAAGUGCCUCUCAGUUCGGACUGGGGUCUGCAACCCGACCCCACGAAGCUGGAUUCGCUAGUAAUCGCGCAUCAGCCAUGGCGCGGUGAAUACGUUCCCGGGCCUUGUACACACCGCCCGUCAAGCCAUGAAAGCCGGGGGCGCCUGAAGUCCGUGACCGCGAGGGUCGGCCUAGGGUGAAACCGGUGAUUGGGGCU
rnacentral:rRNA from 1 species